rnacentral:rRNA from 1 species
UGGGGAAUCUUGCGCAAUGCGCGAAAGCGUGACGCAGCAACGCCGCGUGAGGGAAGACGGCUUUCGGGUUGUAAACCUCUUUCAGGAGGGACGAAGGUGCGGCAGUUAAUAGCUGUCCGUACUGACGGUACCUCCAGAAGAAGCUCCGGCUAACUACGUGCCAGCAGCCGCGGUAAUACGUAGGGAGCAAGCGUUGUCCGGAAUCAUUGGGCGUAAAGCGUACGUAGGCGGCCCGGUAAGUCCGUUGUAAAAGUCAAAGGCUCAACCUUUGAAAGCCGAUGGAUACUGCCGGGCUAGAGUCCGGAAGAGGCGAGUGGAAUUCCUGGUGUAGCGGUGGAAUGCGCAGAUAUCAGGAGGAACACCUAUAGCGAAGGCAGCUCGCUGGGACGGUACUGACGCUAAGGUACGAAAGCGUGGGGAGCAAACAG